rnacentral:rRNA from 1 species
UACGUAGGUGGCAAGCGUUGUCCGGAUUUACUGGGCGUAAAGAGCGCGCAGGCGGUCGAAUAAGUCGAAUGUGAAAGCCCCCGGCUUAACUGGGGAGGGUCAUUCGAUACUGCUCGACUUUGAAGGCAGGAGAGGGAAGUGGAAUUCCCGGUGUAGUGGUGAAAUGCGUAGAUAUCGGGAAGAACACCGGUGGCGAAGGCGGCUAUCUGGCCCGUAAUUGACGCUGAGGCGCGAAAGCGUGGGGAGCAAACAGG